rnacentral:rRNA from 1 species
AGCGAACGCUGGCGGCAGGCUUAACACAUGCAAGUCGAGCGGGCACUUUCGGGUGUCAGCGGCGGACGGGUGAGUAACGCGUGGGAACGUGCCCUCUGGUUCAGAAUAACUCAGGGAAACUUGAGCUAAUACCGGAUACGCCCUUUUGGGGAAAGGCUUGCUGCCGGAGGAUCGGCCCGCGUCUGAUUAGCUAGUUGGUGAGGUAACGGCUCACCAAGGCGACGAUCAGUAGCUGGUCUGAGAGGAUGAUCAGCCACACUGGGACUGAGACACGGCCCAGACUCCUACGGGAGGCAGAAGUGGGGAAUAUUGGACAAGGGGCGCAAGCCUGAUCCAGCCAUGCCGCGUGAGUGAUGAAGGCCUUAGGGUUGUAAAGCUCUUUUAUCCGGGACGAUAAUGACGGUACCGGAGGAAUAAGCCCCGGCUAACUUCGUG